GCCAACUCCCUCAACUCUCCCGAACUUCCCCUCUCGCACCGCUGCCCUCUCCUCUCGCCCGAUCGCUACAAAUCUUCGGCCCCGAGACAUUGGCGCCAUGCCACCAGCCGCCAUCGUUCGCCACUGGUCUUCGCCCUCACCUCGCGACACCGCACCUCCGUCGGUCACGACAAGCCCUAGCCGCCGGCCUUGCCUCCUUCCCUUACCACAGCGGCGAUCUCUCUUCCUCGCAUGAGCAUUCUCGGAUGCAGCCGACGACCUCUCCUCCUCACGCCAGCACCGGGACGCCGCAACGAGCCAACAGCCGACACCGAUCCUCUCCUCCCUGAGCCAUGCCCUAACUGACCCGGUAACAGGUAGAUGAGUCAUGGAUGCUUGGAGAGUCCCGGCUGCUAGUCCCACGUCACACUCAAGGAUAGUCUUUGGUUUGGUUUUGUUAUUGUUUGGGUGGUGUGUUGAUUUUGUGUAUUGUGCUCUUCAAUAAGUUGAUGUGAAUUUUGGAGUCAAGUUUGAUGAUUGCAGGUAUUUUUGUUGUGA